CCUCUCCACCACCAACACCAGCCUACUCCUCCUCCUUCCCUAAGACGCGGCCCGACUACGAACACCAGAACUCAGGAGGACUCUACACCAUCUCAGCUAUGGAUGGCAUUCCUUUUACUGUGUCUGAAAAGUUCCUCAACAAGCAGCAAAAUGUGCAGCAGUUCACUUUACCGGGCAUUACUAUCAAAUCGACCGCUGACAUUGAGCAGGACUAUCAGUACACCUUCUGCACCGAGUACAGCUCAGCACCCUACGUGGACUCCACACACACCCAGCCCUGAUGUAGCACACACACACACACACACACACACACACACACACACACACACACACACACACACACACACACACACACACACACACACGCACACACACACAC